GCGCCGGUAGCUCAGUUGGCAGAGCAGUGGAACGGUACCUCACAGCCCCGGGUUCAAAUCCCGGUCGACGCU